AUGACUUAGUAGUCAUCUUGUUUCAAUUCCUAGAACUUUCAAGAAAGUUGGAGAAAGAAAGAAGGGAAAAAAAUAAGAGAGGAAAAUCGGCAUAGCUAGGGAUUUUAUCCCUUGAAAUCUUGUUCCAAAAAUUAUCUUUUCUAGUAUUCCAAGCAAGUUGAAGGCUCUAAUCAACAUAGAGGGAUUGUUGGGACAAGAAGACUAUUCAUUCUUGCAAGGCACAAUUCUAGCCAAGUUGAAGAACUAAGUGGAAAAGAUUUUGGGAAGGCCAAGAGUUAAGUGGGAUUGACUAAGGAAGAGGACAAGAUGCUGCGUUUCAUGCCACGCAGGUAGGCAGGCAGAGUUCGGUCCUUAGGAGCUCCACCAACAGUACACCGAGAACGCUCCAGUUGUUUCGGAGCUUCAAUUUAUCGGUACUACUUUUGUGUAUAAAUUUGGGCACGGCAGAAACCGGCCCUCUUUGUGGUCAUAUGUAUCUUGUUUAGAGGCUCGUAGAUAGAUAUGUACAGCUAGAUGUUUUGCAACUUUAUUCGUCGCGGUGUAAUAUGUUAGCAAAGUCUGUUGACGCAUGUUUAUAAUUAUGCUAAUGACAAUGGUAUCA